GAUGAACGCUGGCGGCGUGCCUAAUACAUGCAAGUCGAGCGAACAGACGAGGAGCUUGCUCCUCUGACGUUAGCGGCGGACGGGUGAGUAACACGUGGAUAACCUACCUAUAAGACUGGGAUAACUUCGGGAAACCGGAGCUAAUACCGGAUAAUCUAUUGAACCGCAUUGUUCAAUAGUGAAAGACGGUUUUGCUGUCACUUAUAGAUGGAUCCGCGCCGCAUUAGCUAGUUGGUAAGGUAACGGCUUACCAAGGCAACGAUGCGUAGCCGACCUGAGAGGGUGAUCGGCCACACUGGAACUGAGACACGGUCAAGACGCCUACGAGAGGCAGCAGUAGGGAAUCUUCCGCAAUGGGCGAAAGCCUGACGGAGCAACGCCGCGUGAGUGAUGAAGGUCUUCGGAUCGUAAAACUCUGUUAUUAGGGAAGAACAAAUGUGUAAGUAACUAUGCACGUCUUGACGGUACCUAAUCAGAAAGCCACGGCUAACUACGUG
rnacentral:rRNA from 1 species